GACGAACGCUGGCGGCGUGCUUAACACAUGCAAGUCGAACGGAAAGGCCCUGCUUUUGUGGGGUGCUCGAGUGGCGAACGGGUGAGUAACACGUGAGUAACCUGCCCUUGACUUUGGGAUAACUUCAGGAAACUGGGGCUAAUACCGGAUAGGAGCUCCUGCUGCAUGGUGGGGGUUGGAAAGUUUCGGCGGUUGGGGAUGGACUCGCGGCUUAUCAGCUUGUUGGUGGGGUAGUGGCUUACCAAGGCUUUGACGGGUAGCCGGCCUGAGAGGGUGACCGGCCACAUUGGGACUGAGGUACCGGCCCGACCCCUACCGGAGGCAGGCGGUGGGGAAUAUGCACAAAGGGCGGAAGGCUGAUGCAGCAACGCCGCGGGCGGGAUGACCGCCCUUGGGGUGUAAACCGGUUUCGGCUGUGACGAAGCGUGAGGGACGGUAAUGGGUAAAGAAGCACCGGCUAACUACGUG
rnacentral:rRNA from 1 species